UGGAGCCUCUUGGAGCACAGUCAUGGGCAGAGCUCUCCCGGCUCCACCUCUGCCUCCCAUCAGGGGUGAAUAAGGCGGAAGCUGAGGGGACAGUCAUAGCCAGGACAGGAAUGUCACCCCCAGCUGGCAGACAGCACUCUGAGCAGCCAGGCCUGGGAUCCUCUGACCUGCCCACUACUUCAGGAGGCCAGUGUGCUCACUGCCACCCCACGGUCUGGGGACCCUGGACUCCAAACUUGCAGAAUGAAUCUUUGGUGAUGAAAGUGAGAAUCUGGGAGAGAUGUGAAAACUGGAAGAGAAACAGGAAGUACCUCCAGGAUUCGCCUAAAUAGAUGCUGCGGUUUCCAUCAAACCACAGGCCACCCCAGUAUCUCAGUGGCUUCUAUAGGUUGUCCUGAAAGAGCCAUGAGGCCAGACACCAAUUCCACCCUCCACCUUUCUGUGUCCGUCCCAGACCAAGGCAGCCCAGGAAACUCUCUAGGAGGUGUGUCUCCAGGAUAGAGGGCCAGUGGAGAAUGGCAGCCCACACUGUUAUGGGAUGAAGUGUGUCCCCCAAAAUCAACAUGUUGAAGCUCUA
rnacentral:lncRNA from 1 species